CCUACGGGGGGCAGCAGUGAGGAAUAUUGGUCAAUGGACGCAAGUCUGAACCAGCCAAGUAGCGUGCAGGAUGACGGCCCUCCGGGUUGUAAACUGCUUUUAGUUGGGAAUAAAAGGGGGCUCGUGAGCCCUGUAUUGUAUGUACCAUCAGAAAAAGGACCGGCUAAUUCCGUGCCAGCAGCCGCGGUAAUACGGAAGGUCCGGGCGUUAUCCGGAUUUAUUGGGUUUAAAGGGAGCGUAGGCCGGCUUUUAAGUCAGCUGUGAAAGUCCGCGGCUCAACCGUGGAAUUGCAGUUGAAACUGGAGGCCUUGAGUGCACACAGGGAUGCCGGAAUUCAUGGUGUAGCGGUGAAAUGCUUAGAUAUCAUGAAGAACUCCGAUCGCGAAGGCAAGUGUCCGGGGUGCAACUGACGCUGAGGCUCGAAAGUGCGGG
rnacentral:rRNA from 1 species